UUGCUACCUGUUCUACCUGUUAAUCCAACCCUCUACCUGUUAAUCCAACCCUCUACCUGUUCUACCUGUUAAUCCAACCCUCUACCUGUUAAUCCAACCCUCUACCUGUUAAACCAACCCUCUACCUGUUAAUCCAACCCUCUACCUGUUAAUCCAACCCUCUACCUGUUAAUCCAACCCUCUACCUGUUAAUCCAACCCUCUACCUGUUAAUCUAACCCUCUACCUGUUAAUCCAACCCUCUACCUGUUAAACCAACCCUCGCCCUGUUAAUCCAACCCUCUACCUGUUAAUCCAACCCUCUACCUGUUAAUCCAACCCUCUACCUGUUAAUCCAACCCUCUACCUGUUAAUCCAACCCUCUACCUGUUAAUCCAACCCUCUACCUGUUAAUCCAACCCUCUACCUGUUAAUCCAACCCUCUACCUGUUCUACCUGAUAAUCCAACCCUCUCUCUGUGACUCCUCCUCUGCCCCCCCCCCCCCCCCCCCCCCCCCCCCCCCCAGCGCCCGUCAGCUGUGAGGUCCUGAAGACCUAUCUGAUGAGCGUCCCGUACGUGUCCGACUGCCUGGGCAACCUCGGCGCCUUCCUCAAAGAGAACGGUGUCUCCCCCACCAAGGUGGGCUCCGCGCCCGCCCAGCUGCUGUCCGACGUCACCAAGCGCCUGCCCUCCCUGCCCCCCGAGCUGCGCCAGGAGCUCUCCAGGAUCCGACUCACCCAGGUGCCCCGCAACAUCAUCGAGACCCUCACGGAGCUCGUCCCCGCCCGCUCCGAGGGCUCCGGCGGCCUGGCGCGCUACCUCGGCCUGACGGCGGCGUCGGUGCCGUCCGUGUCGGGACUGUCCCAGAGCCUCGCCGCCGUCCCCCAGAAGGUGGCGGCCAUCCCCGCGCGGGCGCAGCAGUACUACAACAACGUCCAGAGUCGCCUCAACAGCCUCAUGCCACAAGAUGCCUAAGAAACAGAACCAGCAGCAGCAGCAGCAGCAGAAGAAGAACCCCCUCAUUAGCGACCAGGACCAGGACCUAGAGCUCAACCGGCUAGUGAGACCGACCCCCCUGCCCCCGCCCCUGCGCUCCCGCUCCCCCUCCCCGUCCCCCGUCUCCCCCGGCGGGAGCGCCCUGGACCUGCCCAACGUGCCUUCCUACCCCCGCCUGCCCCCCAUAGCGAGCCCCCCGUGCCAGCAGACCGGAACCCUCCCCCGCCAGCUGUCCGGCGUCUCGAACCCGGCCUUCUGCAUCGACGACGAGCGCGAAGCCCCGGCCAGACACCCGGGGAGCUCCAGACUAAGCCUCCGUCCAGAGGUCAACGUCGAGGAUGUGGACUCGGACCAGGAGAGAGGAGCAGGGUGGGGGGGAGGAGGGCGUGGCCCCCGGAGCCCUCCCCAGAUAGUCCUGACCCCCCAGGACUCCAAGCUGAAGACCCUCGCGGUCCCCGUCACCCCUAAAGGAGGCCGCCAGAGGUGAGAGGUGGGGGGGAGACGUUGGGAGAGCUCUGGGAGGGGUUCGGACAGACUGAAGCAGGCUUU
rnacentral:lncRNA from 1 species